AAGAAGAGAUUCCCUGCCGCGAAUACCCAAUCACUGGGGGAAACCGACAUCGUACCACCAUCUUCAUAUCCUAUCGGAUUUCUAAACUCAUGACAGCCGACGGACAUCCCCUGCAUCUACAUGGACGGCAGGUUCAUAUCCUAAAGGAUCUUCUGGGUGAUGGAACAUUCACAGUUGACCAGGUCAAAUUCAAGAACAGAGAAAAGUCUCAAGGUGUGAAUUUUCAGGGAAAGUAUCUUGAGUAAAGUGCAGUAAAACUCGCGCAUAUAAUUACUGAAUCAGCUAAUAACAGACAAAGUGUCGAUGACAUAAGUGAUUUAUUCAUGAAAAUCAGUUGGAUUCAAUAUUCAAGUGAAGGUCUUAAGAAAUUGUCAAAUAUCGGACCAGAGGCUAAGUUAAAGGAAAGGUUCAAAGUGCUUGAUGAUGGACAAGAUCAUUUCUGUUGAAGAAAGAAGAUAUUCUGCAAAUCAACAACACACAUCCAAAAUACUUCAUAAUUGGUGGAAAGGAGGCUGGCUACAUCUAUUGCCAUAAUUUGCUUCAUUUACAUGCUCUGCAAACAUCCUGAGAUUCAAGAUAAGGUUCAAUAAGAAAUCGAAGAAGCAACAAACAUGAGAAACAAAUUAAGUCACAGGUGUUAAAGAUUUUGAAAACAGUGCGAGUGAAGAAAGCCUAGAAAUGAUAAGUAGCUUCAUGUAACUUGGAACAAAACUCUCGCGACUCUAUCCUGCAUCUCAGUGUGAUAGGGAUGCGGAGCUAAUCCAUGAUCUAGCAGACUGCAGACUCGUAUUUGGUGCAACUAGACAAUUUGAAGUUAUACGAGGAUAAGUAAUUGACAAAUGUCUCAACAAGCCACACGCGUGGACAAAUGCUAUAGGCUGUCAAUUUCAAGGCAUCUUGGUGGUGGGAUAAGACUUUGGGACCAAUAGGUCUUGGGUUCGAUUCCCACAAAGGGGGUUUUCCCAUAUUUAUUGGGUUUCCUCCUGAAUUGGUGUAUAGGCAUUAUGCCUAGUGGAGAUGGAUAUGAUCGGGUGGUUCCGCUGGUGGCACGAUGAUACUCCAGUGGUCCGUCAGUGAUCCAAAUUUGCCGUUCAAAAAAAAAAAAUUCAAGGAACUUAUAAUUGAUGAAGAAUUAAUGGAGAUUACCUCUGAUGGUAAGUUACCACUAAUGAGGAUUAUGGAACUAGCCUAUGAUGUCAAUUGUCAAGUUACCAUCUGGAUGAAGAUCAAGGGAACUUACCACUAAAGAAAGUUACCUCUAGUGAAGAUUGAUGAAGUCUCGCUAAUGAAGAAGAGAUGCCACGUGUUAACCUAUCAUUUGACGAAGACAAUCUGUUGAGAGGAUGUUAUACAUAAUUCUCACUUGUCAAUUUCGUACGUCUCGACAAGAAUAUAGAUACACGAGUUUGCAUUGAUAUUAUUAUCACUUGGCCCCAUAGUUUAAUGCGUCAAGCAGUUGAGUGUGAAGUCGGUGCAUGAACUUAUGUGUGCAAAUUCAGAGAAAAUUUGCAUGUCACCCUCUUCAUAGCUAGAGCAUUAGCUAGAAAACCAUAUGUAAAUUCAAUUUUAAUUUAUAACUAGUUUUACAUGAUGUAUUCAAACAAUCAAUUUUGAUUAAUACCUUGUGCUUAUAGCAAUUGUUCUUC